ACGAACGCUGGCGGCGUGCUUAACACAUGCAAGUCGAGCGACGCUCUUUCCUUCGGGAGAGAUGACGGAGCGGCGAACGGGUGAGUAACACGUGGGCAACCUGCCCCUAGCUCUGGGAUAAGCCCGGGAAACCGGGUCUAAUACCGGAUAUGAGACCGAGAGGCAUCCUGAGGUCUGGAAAGUUUUUUCGGCUAGGGAUGGGCCCGCGGCCUAUCAGCUUGUUGGUGGGGUAACGGCCUACCAAGGCGACGACGGGUAGCCGGCCUGAGAGGGCGACCGGCCACACUGGGACUGAGACACGGCCCAGACUCCUACGGGAGGCAGCAGUGGGGAAUAUUGCACAAUGGGCGAAAGCCUGAUGCAGCGACGCCGCGUGAGGGAUGACUGCCUUCGGGUUGUAAACCUCUUUCAGCAGGGAC
rnacentral:rRNA from 1 species